CAUGACUUCAUCACCCCCAGUAUUCUGUGAAUUUCCUUCCAGAAGACACAGCUAUGUCUUAGUCAUCAUUGUCACUGCCACAGUACUUAGUAGAACACUUACAUAUUUGUGAAUGUGGGUGGGAAGAGUCAGGCGCCACUUCCCCAUCUCAGCCUCUCUAGGCCCUGCCCUCAAAGGCCAAAGAUCUCCUGUGACCGCCCUGAACUCUUGACUCCCAUGCUGUUGCAGAGCUCAAGCUUGAGGAAAUGAAGCCACAAAAAGCUGCUUGCUUGUUCUUAAAGAGGACAGUUGGAAUUCCAAGCCAGGCAUUGCUGAAGGUUCUAAUAAUUCUUGUUAGAUCAUGAAACAACUAGACAAAUUGGAAUAGAUUGAAAUAGUUUUAAACUAACUUGAAGGCAUAUGAGCUACAGGACCAGCUGCCUUCCCGAUGACCCAAGAGAUGUUCCUUUGCAAAUGUCAUGGUCUGUGUUGAUGCAACCAUGUGAACAGAAACUCCUUCAAGGCAGGAUGUUCUGUUUUAUUAACUAUCUCAGGUACUUAAAAUAGAGCCUCAGCUCGUGGUGGCAUGCUUCAGUGUUUCAUGAUGGGAUCAGGGAAUGCAUACUUGUGCUAGUGUUGCCUCUGCCUUAUCCCCAGCCUUCUAGUGAAGGAGGAUCAGAUCCACACAUCGAAGGAUGUGGUCACUUGUUAGGAUAUAUAAUUAUUCUUAAGACACAUUUAUCUUUAAGAGACACACCAAUAAUUAAGACAUUAUUGAAGCUACCUUUGGACAACAUCUACCAAGUCUCUUUCAGUAGCAACAGAUGAGUCACAGAGAGG
rnacentral:lncRNA from 10 species